UUGUGACUCUAAAGCCCUGAAGCACUGAGCAGCAGUUUGCCCCGAACCAUAUUGCUGAGGAAAUUUCUCUUUUUUAGGGCAGGGGUCCAACAAUGUUUCACCCAAACUACAAGCAACCUUUCCGUGACAACAUCUACAUUUCACAAGAUGGUAACAGACUAAGGUGGCCAGUCCUCCCAGAAAGCAAGGUCCAGUAGGUGCCCUCUACCUCGCUCUACCUGGUGAGAUGCUGAGGGUUCAGGGCACCUGCACCUCCCUCCACACGUGCCCGCCCGUACCCGGGCAGCCUCCAGUCCUGGUUUGCGGCCGCCCAGCUCCGUGACGGCAGUCUUUGGGAGGCAGUCUGCCCCAUCGCCCCUGCCCUGCCUGGACCGCCCCCCACCGAGAACCAGGGAGGGGGCUCUGUAGAAGGCAAGGGCCCUGGCAGCUUGAGGCUUCCACGGCCGAGCCAAGGACCCCUCCCUCCGUGUUGUGCGUGUGGGUAUUGUGCGGCUCAGCUCACGAGCUCGGCAUAAAACGAGGCACUCUGAGGGGUGGUCCGGAGAGCCACUGUGCUCAGGGCCCUGGACAAGCUCCUUCUCUCCCUGGCCACAGGGCCCUCGGGGUGUCCUCCAGCCCAGAUAAAACGUGUCCCACUCGAGGCCUCACAUACCUAGGGGCGAGUCCCCUAAAGCCCGAGCUCUCAGAGUUCUGAGAAGGGCUGAGUGGAGUAUCAGACCCCUGUGGCGUGGGAAUUGGUGAUGGGGCGGGGGGCCCUUCAGGGCACCUGGCUGUCCCCUCCCUGUACAGCACAGCCUUCGCGGAAGCAGCCAAGGGUCUCUGCCACUUACCU